rnacentral:rRNA from 1 species
GACGGAAGGUGCAAGCGUUGCUCGGAAUCACUGGGCGUAAAGGGUGCGUAGGCGGCCGUGCAAGUCUGGCGUGAAAGCCCCGGGCUCAGCCCGGGAAGUGCGCUCGAAACUGCGCGGCUCGAGUGCCGGAGGGGAGAGUGGAAUUCCUGGUGUAGCGGUGAAAUGCGUAGAUAUCAGGAAGAACACCCGUGGCGAAAGCGGCUCUCUGGAACGGUACUGACGCUCAGGCACGAAAGCGUGGGGAGCAAACAGG